rnacentral:rRNA from 1 species
UACAGAGGUCCCAAGCGUUGUUCGGAUUCACUGGGCGUAAAGGGUGCGUAGGCGGUCGGAUAAGUCUGAUGUGAAAUCUUCGAGCUCAACUCGGAAACUGCAUCGGAAACUAUUCGGCUGGAGGAUUGGAGGGGAGACUGGAAUUCUCGGUGUAGCAGUGAAAUGCGUAGAUAUCGAGAGGAACACCAGUGGCGAAGGCGAGUCUCUGGACAAUUCCUGACGCUGAGGCACGAAAGCUAGGGGAGCAAACAGG